UGGUUUUCCUUUCCACCAAUGAGUAUAUAAACACCCCUGAGAUGAUCCAAGAGUCUGUUCUGAAGAAACAUCUCAUCAUCUGUGACCUCAGGUACUCAAGUCUAAGAAGACUAUUACUUUGCUCCUGAGAGAUUGUUUGAUAGAGGAAUCCCGUGACCUCAUGGAUUUCUUCAAAGCGGUGGGCGCGGUGGCAGCGGGUGUAGCCGAAGGAACGGUGGGCGUGGUCAGAGCCGUGGUGGACGUCCCGGUCGGGAUGGUGAAAGGAGCUGCAGACAGCAUCAAAGAAGCCAGCAGCAAAAUUGACAGCGCCAGCUCGCCCGGUGAAGGGGUGGACGCUGUUUUCAGUCUGCUGACGUCUCCACUGACCGGCGCGGUGGCCGGAGGCACGAAAGAGAUCGUCAAGGCACCAGGAAAAGUUGUGCAGAGUGUUGCAGAUGGCAUCGAGAAAGUUUUAGACGACUAAGUAGUGUGAGAGUUUAUGCUUUUUUAUAAUAAUCCUUGAACACUCAUCAUGCAAAAACUUUUAUUUUAGACCAAAAAUUAUUAGAAAAUUUUAUGUAUAUGAAGUAGACAAUAUUUUAUAAAUUCACUGGUAAUAAUGUUCUCACAGUGUCUACAAAUUACAUUAAAUAAUUGUAGGCUAUCAUAAAUCAGCACUGAUUGUUUUUAGAUUUGUGACAAUUAUGCUAAUUAAACUUCAACAAUGUAAAAAA